UACGUAGGGUGCAAGCGUUGUCCGGAAUUAUUGGGCGUAAAGAGCUCGUAGGCGGCUUGUCACGUCGGGUGUGAAAGCCCGGGGCUUAACCCCGGGUCUGCAUUCGAUACGGGCUAGCUAGAGUGUGGUAGGGGAGAUCGGAAUUCCUGGUGUAGCGGUGAAAUGCGCAGAUAUCGGGAAGAACACCCGUGGCGAAGGCGGCUCUCUGGGACGGUACUGACGCUGAGACGCGAAAGCGUGGGGAGCGAACAGG
rnacentral:rRNA from 1 species